AAGGUCUUAGCUUAAAUAAAGUGUCUGAGUUGCAUUCAGGUGAUGUGGGUGUAGACUCGCAGGCCUUA
rnacentral:tRNA from 1 species